rnacentral:rRNA from 1 species
UCGAGCGGCAGCGCGGGGCAACCUGGCGGCGAGCGGCGAACGGGUGAGUAAUGCAUCGGAACAUGUCCAUGUCGUGGGGGAUAGCCCGGCGAAAGCCGGAUUAAUACCGCAUACGCCCGAGAGGGGAAAGUGGGGGACCGCAAGGCCUCACGCGAUUGGGUUGGCCGAUGUCCGAUUAGCUAGUUGGCGGGGUAAGAGCCCACCAAGGCGAUGAUCGGUAGCUGGUCUGAGAGGAUGAUCAGCCACACUGGGACUGAGACACGGCCCAGACUCCUACGGGAGGCAGCAGUGGGGAAUUUUGGACAAUGGGGGCAACCCUGAUCCAGCCAUUCCGCGUGAGUGAAGAAGGCCUUCGGGUUGUAAAGCUCUUUUGUCCGGAACGAAACGGCUACGUCUAAUAAGCGUGGCUACUGACGGUACCGGAAGAAUAAGCACCGGCUAACUACGUGCCAGCAGCCGCGGUAAUACGUAGGGUGCGAGCGUUA